GGACCCUUGGGGACUUUCCAAAAGUCUCCCCAUUAAUCUAAACUCAGGUGUGAGUGAAAGGGACUUAUCAGCAGAGUCUUCUGGAAUUUAAGACUGGAGAGCACCAAUGUGCAAGUGGAGGUUUAAGAGGAUGAAAGUCUGUUCCAGGAGGCCCUCUCUACCUGCAGAGUAGAGCCUGGAAUGGUUGAAGCAACCAGCACCCUCUGUGGCUGAUGAGAAGUCCUGGGAAGUGUGGAUUCCAGACAGUGGCCUUAGCAGAAAUAAGACUGUGGUCCAAGCCUUUCCCCAGCAGCUUCCAUUAAAGCCUGUCUUCUAGACCAUUGAAUCCAGCAUGGCAGCAAAUAUCACCUUUUACCUUCUUGGUCAUCAGACUGAGAAGAGCCUUUUCUGGACCUGAUGCAGAGUGCUGCCCUGGUCCAGAUGUCCUGGACUUUGCCUGAGAUGCAGAGUGGGAAGGUCUUGAAGGCAGAGUGGGUCUGUGGUUUCUAUUUGAGAAGAGGAUACAUAGCCAUCUGGGGAAGCAGACUGUGACAGAGCUGUAAGUUGACAUCAACAGGUGUCUUUAUCUUUUUCCAUAGUGCUAUAACCCCUGAUGUUUAGCUGGCUCAUGCAGUGCAAGUCAGGGACCACACUCAGCCUCCAUUGCAGGCUAGUUCAAUCAUUUGACUAACUCUGGCUGAUAGCACGUGGUGUUGUUAACCCUAAUUCCUAGUGUGAUGAUAUGUGGAGAUGAAGCCUUGGGGAAGUAAGUAGGAGCAAUUAGGUUAUGAGGGUGGGGCCCUCAUGAUAGCAUUAGUGCCCUUAUAGCAAGAGCAUGGCCUCUCUCUCUCAGUGGUCACACACAGGGGAAGGCCAUGUGAGGACAGUGAGAAGAGGGCUGACUGCAUGCCAGGAAGAGCCUUCACCAGAAACUGAACCCACCGGCACCUUAAUCUUGGACUUGCAGCCUCCAGAACUGUGAGAAAAUAAAUGUCUGAUAUUUAAGCCCUUCAGUCUCUGCUGUUUUGUCGUGGUGGGCCAAUCUGAGCUGACUAUUACAGCAUCACAACGUAAAAACCAAGCCAGGGGCUUCCCUGGUGGUCCAUUGGCUAAGACUCCAUGCUCCCAGUGCAGGGGGCUGGAGUUUGAUUCUUGGUCAGGGAACUAGAUCUCACAUGUCCCAACUAGAGAUCCACCACAGCCAAAC
ensembl:lncRNA